AUUGAACGCUGGCGGCGUGCCUAAUACAUGCAAGUCGAACGGAGUGGCGCACGGGCGAGUAAUGUAUAUAUAAUCUGCCCUACACUAGAGGACAACAGUUGGAAACGACUGCUAAUACUCUAUAUUGUAUGAUGAGGCUAUAUUGUAUCACCUAGUUGGUGAGGUAAUGGCUCACCAAGGCUAUGCCGCAUAACAGGUCUGAGAGGAUGAUCCGUCAAACUGGAAGUGAGACACGAUCGAGGAACCUUCGGGAAGCAGCAGUAGGGAAUAGUGCUCAAUGGGGGAAAACCAGGAACAGCAACGCCGCGUGGAGGAUGACACUUUGCGAAGCGUAAACUCCUUUUGUUAGGGAAGCGGUACCUAACGAAUAAGCACCGGCUAACUCCGUGCCAGCCGCCGCGGUAAUAC
rnacentral:rRNA from 1 species